rnacentral:rRNA from 1 species
GAUGAACGCUGGCGGCGUGCCUAAUACAUGCAAGUCGAGCGAAUGGAUUAAGAGCUUGCUCUUAUGAAGUUAGCGGCGGACGGGUGAGUAACACGUGGGUAACCUGCCCAUAAGACUGGGAUAACUCCGGGAAACCGGGGCUAAUACCGGCUAACAUUUUGAACCGCAUGGAUCGAAAUUGAAAGGCGGCUGCGGCUGUCACUUAUGGAUGGAUCCGCGUCGCAUUAGCUAGUUGGUGAGGUAACGGCUCACCAAGGCAACGAUGCGUAGCCGACCUGAGAGGGUGAUCGGCCACACUGGGACUGAGACACGGCCCAGACUCCUACGGGAGGCAGCAGUAGGGAAUCUUCCGCAAUGGACGAAAGUCUGACGGAGCAACGCCGCGUGAGUGAUGAAGGCUUUCGGGUCGUAAAACUCUGUUGUUAGGGAAGAACAAGUGCUAGUUGAAUAAGCUGGCACCUUGACGGUACCUAACCAGAAAGCCACGGCUAACUACGUGCCAGCAGCCGCCGUAA